rnacentral:lncRNA from 1 species
GUGCAUAGUCAUCCAUAUCAAUUCAUCUUUUUAAUGGCUGUGUAUUAUUCCACAGUGUCCAUGGAAUAUGAAUAUCAUUCUGGAUACCUUCUGCUUGACUACCCAGAUCUGCUUGCCACUCACCUCUAUGCUGCUCUUCAGGAGGCAAACUCCCGUGGUUUCCCUUGUCCUCUGGUUGGGUUGACAAAUAGACAGGAGAUUAACAAGAGAAGAAAAAAUUCCAAGGCUGGACUCAAAGGAAGCUUAAGACCCAUGCUUACUACAUGCAUUCAGAAAAGGUGCCACAGAAAAGUCUCUGUUUCUUAUUUGAGGAGUGGGAAAGAAAUUCCUAACAGGUAGGAGAGAGUCAAAGAAAUAUCUGUACUUUCAUUUCAUCCAUUCUCUCCUCUUCCAGUCCCAGGCAGUAGAGGAAGCAAUGGCAUCAACAUUCAGACAGGUAACCACAACUGUAAGGGAGGUGAGUCCUUCUCUCUGUCCAGAGGAACUUUGGUCCCAAGGGUGUGGAAAGAAUCACAAAAUCUCAAUUCAUAUUCUCUCUCUCUCUCUCUCUGUCUCUAUCUCUAUCUCUUUCUCUUUCUCUCCCUCCCUCCCCAUCCUUUUAUUGUCCUCUAAGGCAGCCAUAGUCAUUCCAAGUAUGCAACAGAGUGGGGAAAAUAAAACUCUGGCUUUCUUGGCAGAGGGCUGGAAAGCAUGGAUCUUGUGAAGUGAAAAGUUUCACAGAAGUGGUAAAGAAGAUAAAUAAUACACGACAUGAAGCGGGCUUAUCCUAGGAAUGCAAGGCUGGUUUAAUAUUCAAAUAUUAAUUAAAAAACAAAGUAGAAAGCAGAUGAUGUUAACUGAUACAAAAAUUUUUGAUAAAAUUCAACCUCUAUUAAGGAGCAAAACUCUCAGUCAACUAAGAAUACCAGUGAAUAUGUUUUAAUUGAUAACAAUAAUCUACAUGAAAACCCCAACAGGUAUCAUCAGGCUUAAUGAGAAAAGAUUUUUUUUUUCUCAUAAGAUUGGGAACAUGGCCAGGAUUAAGUCCUUGCUACUUUUCUAACUAUUCCUAUCCCACAUUGUAGUAUAUAUUCCAGACAUUGUAAUAAGGGGAGUAAAAAAUAUAUACAAAAAUUCAUUGGAAAGAAGAAUAACAUUGUUUCCAUUUGCAAAUAAAAAUUGCCUAUGGAGAGCUUAGCAAGUCCUAGGAUAUGAGGUCACCAUAGGAAAACUCAGUCACAUUUCCAUUUACUAGUAAUGAACAAUUAGAAACUUUUUUUUUUGAGACGGAGUCUCACUGUCUCCCAGGCUGGAGUGCAGUGGCGCGAUCUCGGCUCACUGCAAGCCUCCGCCCCAGUUCACGCCAUUCUCAUACUCAACCUCCCAAGUAGCUGGGCUACAGAGCCCGCUUCUGGCCUUGACUAGUUUUUUGUAUUUUUAGUAGAGGCGGGGGUUUCACCAUAUUCGCCAAGGUCUGAUCUCCUGACCUUGUGAUCCACCCGCCUCGGCCUCCCAAAGUGCUGGGAUUACAGGCUUGAGCCACGGCGC